rnacentral:tRNA from 4 species
GCGGGUGUAGCUCAGUUGGUUAGAGCGCCAGUUUGUGGCACUGGAGGUCGCCGGUUCGAAACCGGUCACUCGCCCCA